rnacentral:hammerhead_ribozyme from 1 species
ACCCAGCUGACGAGUCUCGAAUAGGACGAAACGUGCGACAAACUGGAU